AGUGUGCCGUGGAAGAAACUGUCAAAAUAGGACAAAUUAUUUUAUGUUUCAACAACAUUGGAACUACUAUUAGUUUGUGUGUCAGUUUGUGGUUACCUCUUCCAAUUGGGGAUGGUAGUACCAUGACAAAGCCAGCGGCGUUGGGAACCUCAUCAAUUCCACAUCGAGAAUUUCCAAAUUUACUUUGUUUCUUCGAACUCAACAUCGCCGUGACAUUAAACCAGUGAAGGAUAUUCCACGCGGUGUCUCGGAAAGCAAAAAGAAGUUAAGACAACCCCCGGCAAAGAGGAUGUACAUCGUGCAACAUUUAGUGCUGGCAUGUUGGUCACAGUAGUUGCCGUUCGUUCCGGCGAAUA